rnacentral:rRNA from 1 species
UACAGAGACUGCAAGCGUUAUUCGGAUUCACUGGGCGUAAAGGGUGCGCAGGCGGCCAAGUGUGUGAGGCGUGAAAGCCCGGGGCUUAACCCCGGAAUUGCACCUCAAACUACAUGGCUAGAGCAUUGGAGAGGGUAGCAGAAUUCAUGGUGUAGCAGUGAAAUGCGUAGAGAUGCGGAGGAACACCGAUGGCGAAGGCAGCCCCCUGGGCUAACACUGACGCUCAGGCACGAAAGCGUGGGGAGCAAACAGG